rnacentral:rRNA from 1 species
AGGCAAAUCCGCUUUGAUAAUGCUGGGAUGUGAUGGGGAGCGAAAUUUAGUAGCGAAGUAGCUGAUUUCACACUGUCAAGAAAAGUCUCUAUCGAGGUUAAAGGUACCCGUACCGCAAACCGACACAGGUGGGUGAGGAGAGUAUCCUAAGGCCAGCGAGAGAACUGUUGUUAAGGAACUCGGCAAAAUGACCCCGUAACUUAGGGAUAAGGGGUGCCACCAUCAGGUGGCCGCAGAGAAUAGGCCCAAGCGACUGUUUACCAAAAACAUAGGUUUCUGCUAAGUCGCAAGACGAUGUAUAGGAGCUGACGCCUGCCCGGUGCUGGAAGGUUAAGGGGAUCUGUUAGAGCAAUCGAAGCAGUGAACUUAAGCCCCAGUAAACGGCGGCCGUAACUAUAACGGUCCUAAGGUAGCGAAAUUCCUUGUCGGGUAAGUUCCGACCCGCACGAAAGGCGUAACGAUUUGGGCACUGUCUCAACAACAGACUCGGUGAAAUUGUAAUUCCGGUGAAGAUGCCGGAUACCUGCGACAGGACGGAAAGACCCCAUGGAGCUUUACUGUAGCUUGACAUUGGGUCUUGGUACUACAUGUACAGGAUAGGUGGGAGGCUUUGAAACCAGGACGCCAGUUUUGGCGGAGCCAUCCUUGGGAUACCACCCUUGUAGUACUGGGACUCUAACCAUAGGCCAUGAAUCUGGUCUUGGGACACUGUCAGGUGGGCAGUUUGACUGGGGCGGUCGCCUCCCAAAAGGUAACGGAGGCGCUCAAAGGUUCUCUCAGUACGGUCGGAAAUCGUACGUAGAGUGUAAAGGCAAAAGAGAGCUUGAUUGCAAGACAUACAGGUCGAGCAAGGAUGAAAAUCGGACUUAGUGAUCCGGUGGUUCUGCGUGGAAGGGCCAUCGCUCAACGGAUAAAAGCUACCCUGGGGAUAACAGGCUUAUCUCCCCCAAGAGUCCACAUCGACGGGGAGGUUUGGCACCUCGAUGUCGGCUCAUCACAUCCUGGGGCUGUAGUAGGUCCCAAGGGUUGGGCUGUUCGCCCAUUAAAGUGGUACGCGAGCUGGGUUCAGAACGUCGUGAGACAGUUCGGUCCCUAUCCGUCGCAGGCGUAGGAAAUUUGAGAAGACCUGUCCUUAGUACGAGAGGACCGGGAUGGACGUACCUCUGGUGUACCAGUUGU